rnacentral:lncRNA from 1 species
UGGCAACCAGGGCGAAGCUUCCUGAAAGCAUCCAUUUGAUCAGGAGGAUAGAGACAAUUCUGAAUGACAAAAUCAGAAGGAACCACAUCAGCCAUCUGAGCCCAGGAUUCAGAUUCCAAACGGCAUCACAUAAUGAAUAAUCCAGAGAUAGAAGAGAUACACUAUUUAUAAAGAAGACUGAAAGCCUGGGGAAAUGUUCCAGGCUAUUUUUUUUCUUAAGAUGAAUAAGCAUUUGUAAACAAAAGUAAAACCUUCCACAAACAAGGUUGCCUUUUUCCUGCAUUGCUAUUACUUAUCUUUAACAAUUAUAAGAUAAAAUGAAAUUUUAAAAAAAGAUAUUCUCUUUGCCUUUGCUACAGCAUAAAUUUCAAAAUCUUGCUCUGUGUGUGUGUGUGUGUUUGUUGUUGCUCCUGAAUUCAACAAGAACAACAUAAGGUGUUUGAUAAAAUUCUCACAUGACCCUCCUUCCAGCUGGCACAAUAAUUGACAUGCCAGAGUAAGCAGCAAGUUUGUUUUUAGGUAAAUGGAGCUGCCAUCUUAUCAAUAUUUCCUUUUCCCCCAAAUAAAUAUGGUUUCUCCAAACAAGUAUACUUUAAAGCAUAGGUAUUCCCUAGUACCCAAAAUAACAAAAAUGCUCAGUUCUGUAGUCUUUAUAUUAAUCCCCCCAAAAUAGUGACACAGAAUGUUCAGUCUUUGAAAGUGUGUGGUUAGAGCCUUUGCUGCAAACACCAUUAGAACAAAACUGAUUUGAAAUUCUGCUUCCUCUAACUACCAGUGCCAGCCAGCCCAUUGUCUUCUACCACUGUGGCUAUCAGAAGUGCAAAAGGGCACACAUCCAUUCAACAAGUAUCUGCAGGGAAGGAAACCACCUCUCCUUGCUCAGAUGUCAAACAAAAUCAAUAAUCAUUUGCUAAGGAAAGGAAAAGGGAGACAAGAACUGACCCCUUUCACCUCAAAUUUCUCAUUUCUUCCUUGUCUAGGCUGUACAGAAAUCCAUGUAACUGUUUUCCCUUUAAUGAUUUCUUCUGCCUUCUGCAUCUCACCAAUUAUGUUCUGAAGUCUUUUCAACAAUCGGGAAAUAUCUCUAUAAUUGCUCCAAAUUCAAUGAAAAUGAAUGCCCAUCUUAUGUUUCUUUGUACAGAUACUUUUAGAGAUAUAUCUGGGUAUUGCAAGUGCAAGAGUCCCAGUGUCUAGAACAGAACCUGCUACUGCUGAGUUUACAAAUGCU